UUAAGAAAUGCUGACAAUAAGAAAAUACAAUUUUAUUUAACUUUAAAGGUAUGAAUCCAGAGCUGCAGCAUGAAGAUAGUGGAUUCUAACAGUCCAUAAAACCAUAAGAAAUACGGGCAUGGGUAUAAAGGGAUGAAGAAGAUGGGGACAUGGAAGCCAAAAAGCCAUCAUCUGGCCAUCUGAAUCUGGCCCUGCAAUUGUCUUUUCACUUAUGAAUACAUGACUUUACUUGCCAGGAGAAACAGCUGACAGAGGAUGGCCUCUGCCUCCCAUCUGCCUUCCAACCAAGCUGGAGUGCAAUGGCGCAAUCUUGGUUCACUGCAACCUCCGCCUCCCAGGUUCAAGCAAUUCUCCUGCCUCAGCUUCCUGAGUAGCUGGGAUUACAGGUAUGCACCACAGGUGAGUCAUUCUUUAAAUUAAGCCUGGUUUAGCAUUCUCUUAGAAAACAGGGUGAGCAAAGGAAUAGAAAUCAUUCUAUUAUACAGAUGCAGGCACACAUAUGUUCAUUAGAGCACUGUUCACAAUAGCAGAGACAUGAAAUCAACCCAGAUGCCCACCAAUGAUAGACUGGAUAAAGAGAAUGUGGUACAUAUAUACUAUGGAAUAUUAUGCAGUCAUAAAAAGGAAUGAGAUUAUGUACUUUGCAGGGACAUAAUGGAGCUGGAAGCCAUUAUCCUCAGCAGACACAAGAACAGAAAACCAAACACCACAAGUUCUUACUUAUAAGUGGGAGCUGAACAAUGAGAACACAUGGACACAGAGAGAGGAACAAUGCACAUUGGGGCCUGUCAGCGAGGCAGGGGGAGGGAGAGCAUCAGGAUAAAUAGCUAACGCGUGCCGGGCUUCAUACCUAGGUGAUGGGUUGUUAGGUGCAGCAAACCACCAAGGCACAUGUUUACCUAUGCAACAAACCACACAUCUUGCACAUGUAUCCUGGAACUUAGGAUAAAAUGAAAUUAAAUUUAAAAAAAAGAAAAAGGGGUGAGGAGGACAGACAGGAAAUAAUGUUAACAUAUGACAUCAGUGGUGUAAAUAUUUCACAACUGGUUUCAAAAUGACAGGCUCUGAUGUAUAGUAUUUGCCAAUUUCUCUGGUGUAAAUGCUCCCACCGUGGCUAAUUUCAAGCUAGCAACCUGAUGUCACUGAAUGCAGAGUUGAACGAGGUACACACAAUUGGCUCUCAUGAACCGUUAUAAACUGCCC
rnacentral:lncRNA from 1 species